rnacentral:rRNA from 1 species
AUGUCUUUGCUUGUUACUGCCUAUUCUGAUGCAGACUGGGCAGGGUGUGCCGAUGACAGAAGGUCCACAGGUGGUUUUGCUUUGUUUCUGGGAACAAAUCUUAUAUCGUGGAGUGCAAGAAAACAGGCCACUGUUUCUAGGUCCAGUACAGAAGCUGAGUAUAAAGCUUUGGCCAAUGCUACAGCUGAGGUGAUGUGGAUACAGACUCUGUUAUAUGAGCUUGGGAUCAAGGCUCCACAAGCUGCGAGGUUAUGGUGUGAUAAUAUUGGUGCAACCUAUCUCUCAGCUAAUCCUGUUUUCCAUGCACGAACUAAACAUAUUGAAGUUGAUUUUCACUUUGUCACAGAAAGAGUAGCUCGCAAGCUACUUGAUAUUCGAUUUGUACCAACUGGUGAUCAACUUGCUGAUGGCUUCACAAAACCUCUUACUACAGGAAGAUUGAAUGAUUUCAAGAACAAUCUUAACCUUGGUAAAGUUCACUCGGUUCAGAUUGAGGGGGAAUGUUAG